rnacentral:rRNA from 1 species
UAACCUUGCGAAAGUAAGACUAAUACCCAAUGAUAUCCCACGAAGGCAUCCGAAUGGGAUUAAAGAUUUAUCGGUGAUGGAUGGGGAUGCGUCUGAUUAGCUUGUUGGCGGGGUAACGGCCCACCAAGGCGACGAUCAGUAGGGGUUCUGAGAGGAAGGUCCCCCACAUUGGAACUGAGACACGGUCCAAACUCCUACGGGAGGCAGCAGUGAGGAAUAUUGGUCAAUGGGCGAGAGCCUGAACCAGCCAAGUAGCGUGCAGGAAGACGGCCCUAUGGGUUGUAAACUGCUUUUAUAGGGGAAUAAAGUGAGCCACGUGUGGUUUUUGCAUGUACCCUAUGAAUAAGGACCGGCUAAUUCCGUG